rnacentral:misc_RNA from 1 species
AAGUCGUAACAAGGUUUCCGUAGGUGAACCUGCGGAAGGAUCAUUAACACGUAUCCACGUAUCAAACCCUCGUGCUCUCUGGUCGUGCUCAAUCGUUGGAGGAAAGUGUGGUGAAGGGUUCGGGUGAGUGGUAAGACAAGGACUUUCGGGUUUUUGGUCUGACACUUGGACCUUUCACCUUGAGUGGUUUUCUCUUCGGGGAAAGCUAUUCAGGCUUUACUUGGACGGUGGAGUCAUAUUUUUCAACCAUAUGGUUUCCUCUUUACCAUUGAAACCAUUUUGGUUAACCCAAUUUUAAACCCCUUUAACUAUUUGACUGACUAUUUCAUAUAACAAGCUGGAAACGGCUUGCUUAUUAUAUACGAAAUGCUUGACAACUCUUAGCAACGGAUAUCUUGGUUCUC